GGGGAUGUGGCCAACUGUGUGGAGUGUUACAUGAAUGAGCACAAGGUCACACAAGAGGUCGCCUUUGCAGCGAUGGAUUCGCUGACAGAAGACGAAUGGAAGACCACCAACCAAGCUCGAUUUGAACAUCCUCGUGACCUGCUACCGGCGGUGCAACGGAUUAUCAGCUACACUCUCAGCAUGCCGGUGUACUACAACGGCAGGAAGGAUGCCUUCACCUUCAGCUCACAUCUUGACGAAGUCGUUGAAGGCCUCUUCCUCAAGCCCAUCCCCAUCUAG
rnacentral:rRNA from 1 species